AAGAUCAUACUUUUAGGGAUCAUUUCUAUAGUGUGCAUCUUGAAAACGUCAUCAAAAUAUGACGAAUCCUCAACUACGAUGAUGAGUCGUAGGGAUUCCUUCUGAGCAUGAAGCUUGGUUCACAUUAUCUUCGGAUAAUAUGAACUUUUGAGGAUUGUUCUUGGAUUUCCUUUUGGAGAUCUAGGAGGAAGGAAUCUCCGGCUGAGUAGU
rnacentral:snoRNA from 1 species